rnacentral:tRNA from 1 species
GGGGAAGUACUCAAGAGGCUGAAGAGGACGGUUUGCUAAAUCGUUAGACCGGGAAAUCGGUGCGGGGGUUCGAAUCCCUUCUUCUCCG